UACGUAGGGUGCAAGCGUUGUCCGGAAUUAUUGGGCGUAAAGAGCUUGUAGGCGGUUUGUCGCGUCUGCUGUGAAAUUUCGGGGCUCAACCCCCGAACUUGCAGUGGGUACGGGCAGACUAGAGUGUGGUAGGGGAGACUGGAAUUCCUGGUGUAGCGGUGAAAUGCGCAGAUAUCAGGAGGAACACCGAUGGCGAAGGCAGGUCUCUGGGCCACUACUGACGCUGGAGGAGCGAAAGCGUGGGGAGCGAACAGG
rnacentral:rRNA from 1 species